CACACACACACACACAGCCAGGGGGCCUAGCAGACCAAAUCAGGAUAUGACAUCAUACACAGGAAGGGAAGCCAAAUAACUUUUCAGCUAGUUUUUUUGGUCUGUUAUGUCAUAUUCCUAUCUGCGUUUUGGAGGGUAGAGAGAGGCUGAUGAGUGCCGGGAAGGAUCCUCUCGAGACAGUUUGGAUUUGCUCUGUUCCCUCUUGGAGAGAACAGGAGAACGAGGAAAUCUUUCCAGGUUUCCCACAACAUUCCAAGUGUCUACAGCAGGACUAAAGACUGGUGCUUAAGAGUGAAAAAAAUCUACCAUCCACAUCCUGACUGGCUCUGACGACUCGGUCACCCUGCUCCGUUCAGCAAUGGCUCAGUGCUUGGGUCAAGUCUUCAGCAAAGACAAAACAUUCCGGCCUCGGAAGCGAUUUGAACCUGGAACCCAGCGCUUUGAGCUGUACAAAAGAGCCCAGGCGUCUCUGAAAUCAGGCCUGGACCUGAGGAAGGUGGUGCAGCUGCCAGAUGGGGAGAACAUUAAUGACUGGAUAGCUGUGCACGUGGUGGAUUUCUUCAAUCGAAUCAACCUCAUCUACGGGACCAUGAGCGAGUUCUGCACUGAGAAGAGCUGUCCCAUCAUGUCUGGAGGGCCACGUUAUGAAUACAGGUGGCAGGAUGGGGAUCAGUAUAAGAGGCCCACCAAACUGCCUGCUCUUAUGUACAUGAACCUCCUGAUGAACUGGAUCGAGUCCCUCAUCAACAAUGAGCACAUCUUUCCUACACGAGAGUCCCUUUUCCUAAGAACUUUCAGCAGGUGUGCAAAAAGAUACUGAGCCGCUUGUUUCGGGUGUUUGUGCACGUGUACAUCCAUCACUUCGACAUGAUCUGUAGUAUGGGAGCUGAGGCUCACAUCAACACCUGCUACAAACACUACUUCUACUUCAUCUCUGAGUUCAGUCUCAUAGACCAUUCGGAGCUGAAGCCGCUGAAAGAAAUGACAGAGAGGAUCUGCCACUGAAAGAUGUGGGGAACAGAUGGGAAUCCAAAUGACCAAAAAGACAAUGUACUUGAGGUCUGAUCUAAGAUCGGGCGAGAUCAGAGACUCACAAAUGUAUAUAUGACUGAAAAACUGUGGGUCCAGUAAUUCAACACGUUCUUGAGACAGUAUAUGUUUAAAUUAUGCACAGUAGCUCAUAUUCUGCAGCACUGAUAUGAAAUGAUGCAUUGAUUGCUUAGUAUUGCAUUCAUUUUGGGCAUUUGAUCAUGUGACUUCAAAGAUACUGAAAAAAUGUGAUCCUGAGGCAAAUGUCUUGAAAUUAUAUGUCCAAAACUUCUGCUAAGUUACAGAGGUCACGUUCUAGCUUUGCUGUGUCUGUGCCAGUGCAGAGAAGCUUUAUUUUUACUUUAUUUUAUUUAAACAGGGCAUGUACAGUAAGAUUUUUUUCCAUAGCUAUUAACUAGUGAAUGAUGAUGAAUAGUACUUCAGACAUUUUGUUCUGACAAUGUGCUGUUUCUGCCUAUGUAUUUUUUGCAUGCAAGUUUGAAAUACAAACAAUGUAAAUGUA